AUAUGGGGCAGUAUGGGGUGAAAUGGGUCCAGCUAUGGGGUGAUGGGUCUCUAUGGGUCUCUAUGGGUCCAAUGUUACUCUUUGGGGUCUCUAUGGGUCUCUAUGGGUCCAAUGGAUCUCUGUGUGUCUCUAUGGGUCCCUUUGUGUCCCUAUGGGUCCCUAUGGGUCUCUAUGGGUCCAAUGGGUCCCUAUGUGUCCCUAUGGGUCUCUAUGGAUCCCUAUGGGGUCUCUAUGUGUCCCUAUGGGUCCCUGUGGGUCCAAUGGGUCUCUAUGGGGUCUGUAUGUGUACCUAUGGGUCUGUACGGGUGCGAUGUGUCCCUAUAGGUCUCUAUGUGUCCCUAUAGGUCUCUAUGUGUCCCUAUGGGUCCCUAUGGAUCUCAAUGGGUCUCUAUGGGGUCCCUGUGGGUCCCUAUGGGUCCCUGUGGGUCUCUAUGGGUCCCUAUGUGUCCCUAUGGGUCCCUAUGGGUCGCUAUGGGUCCCUAUGGGUCGCUAUGGGUCCCUAUGUGUCCCUAUGUGUCCCUAUGGGUCCCUAUGUGUCCCUAUGUGUCCCUAUGGGUGCGAUGUGUCCCGCAGGCGCUGUGGGCGGCGCUGCUCCCUCUGCUGGCGCUGUCGGCGCCCCACGCGCUGCUCCCGGCUCUGUUGGCCGCUCUGUGGGGCGGAGCCACGUUGGGGGCGGCGCUGCUGCGCUUCACCCCCCGGCUGCCCCACGGAGACUGCGUGGUACGGACCCACGGGGCUCCCGUCCUCCCGUACGCCCAUCCUCCCGGUCCUCCCAGUCCUCCCAGUCCUCCAGUCCUCCCAGUCCUCCAGUCCUCCAGUCCUCCCAGUCCUCCGGUCCUCCCAGUCCUCCAGUCCUCCGGUCCUCCCAGUCCUCCAGUCCUCCAGUCCUCCCAGUCCUCUGGUCCUCCCAGUCCUCCAGUCCUCCAGUCCUCCCAGUCCUCCCAGUCCUCCAGUCCUCCCAGUCCUCCGGUCCUCUCAGUCCUCCCAGUCCUCCAGUCCUCCCAGUCCUCCGGUCUUCCCAGUCCUCCAGUCCUCCGGUCCUCCCAGUCCUCCGGUCCUCCAGUCCUCCCAGUCCUCCGGUCCUCUCAGUCCUCCCAGUCCUCCAGUCCUCCCAGUCCUCCGGUCUUCCCAGUCCUCCAGUCCUCCGGUCCUCCCAGUCCUCCAAUCUUCCGGUCCUCCGGUCCUCCCAGUCCUCCAGUCCUCCGGUCCUCCCAGUCCUCCAGUCCUCCAGUCCUCCCAGUCCUCUGGUCCUCCCAGUCCUCCAGUCCUCCAGUCCUCCCAGUCCUCCCAGUCCUCCAGUCCUCCGAUCUUCCAGUCCUCCAGUCCUCCCAGUCCUCCCAGUCUUCCGGUCCUCCAGUCCUCCCAGUCCUCCAGUCCUCCAGUCUUCCGGUCCUCCAGUCCUCCCAGUCCUCCCAGUCCUCCGGUCCUCCAGUCCUCCCAGUCCUCCAGUCCUCCCAGUCCUCCGGUCUUCCCAGUCCUCCAGUCCUCCGGUCCUCCCAGUCCUCCGGUCCUCCAGUCCUCCCAGUCCUCCGGUCUUCCCAGUCCUCCGGUCCUCCGGUCCUCCGGUCCUCCCAGUCCUCCGGUCCUCCAGUCCUCCCAGUCCUCCAGUCCUCCAGUCCUCCCAGUCCUCCAAUCUUCCGGUCCUCCGGUCCUCCCAGUCCUCCAGUCCUCCAGUCCUCCCAGUCCUCCAGUCCUCCCAGUCCUCCGGUCUUCCCAGUCCUCCAGUCCUCCGGUCCUCCCAGUCCUCCGGUCCUCCAGUCCUCCCAGUCCUCCGGUCUUCCCAGUCCUCCGGUCCUCCGGUCCUCCGGUCCUCCCAGUCCUCCGGUCCUCCAGUCCUCCCAGUCCUCCAGUCCUCCAGUCCUCCCAGUCCUCCAAUCUUCCGGUCCUCCGGUCCUCCCAGUCCUCCAGUCCUCCAGUCCUCCCAGUCCUCCAGUCCUCCCAGUCCUCCGGUCUUCCCAGUCCUCCAGUCCUCCGGUCCUCCCAGUCCUCCGGUCCUCCAGUCCUCCCAGUCCUCCGGUCUUCCCAGUCCUCCGGUCCUCCGGUCCUCCGGUCCUCCCAGUCCUCCAGUCCUCCCAUCCUCCAGUCCUCCCAGUCCUCCAGUCCCCCCCAGAGUCCCCCAUACCCCCCCACAUCCCCCCCAUACCCCCCCCCAGGCCCCAUAUCCCCCCAUAUCCCCCUAUAUCUCCCCCAUACCCCCCCACUUUCCCGCAUUCUCCCCCAGUCCCCCAGUCCUCCCAGUCCUCCAGUCCCCCCCAUAUCCCCCCAUUACCCCCCAUUACCCCCCCACUCCCCCACAUCCCCCCAUAUCCCCCCAUUCCCCCCCAGUCCUCCCAGUCCUCCAGUCCCCCCCAUAUCCCCCUGUAUCCCCUCCAUACCCCCCCCAUAUCCCCCCAUAUAUCCC
ensembl:lncRNA